CAUAAUACUUGCUUUGGUGUUUCCUUAAACUUGUUCUUCAGUUUUAAAGAUGAUAUUGUAUGAAUUAGUUUAUAAGCAAAAAAAAAAGAAUGUUAGAACUGUUAUUGAGCUACUAAAUGGAAUAAUUUAGCCGUCAAUGAACGUUUAUUGUUCAAGAGAACUUUUUAAGUUUCAACUUUCAAGUUUCAAUCUUAUCCGAUGUUUUUAAAAUCGGACUGGAUACAGAUUCGGUAUAUCUAUUGGUUGAUUGGUUAGCCCGGUUCAAUCGGUCAAACUGAGUUUUUUAUUUGAAAAUAAAUAAUUAUAAAUAAUUAUAUAUUUAUAAUAUAUAGACUUAAAAUGUAUAUUUACAUAUAAUAUGUUAUAUGUUCUCUUUUAUCAAUUAGAUAAUAAACAAUAACCAUAAGUUUAGUUAUAUAUACAGUUAACAAUGAAUACUAUAUGAACUGAAAUUGAAAAAAAAAAACAAAUGAUUGACUGUUUACGUUAUGUAUUUAUUUACUUUCACAACUAAAAGUUUUAAAUUUUAUGAAUAUGGCAAAAUGAGAAUAGAAUAUAAGAGUUAAACAUAUUUUUUUUCUUUAACAAAAUAUAAUUAAAAAGAAAACAAAUUAAAUGCUGAAAGUUAAACAUUGAUUAUGAAACAUUAAAUUUUAAAAAUGAUGACCCAAAUUAACUUCAAAACCCAGUUUUAAAAAAAUCAAUAUAUAAUUGACUGUUUACGUUAUGUAUUUAUUUAUUUUCACAACUAAAAAUUUUAAAUUUUACGAAUAUUGCAAAAUGAGAAUAGAAUAUGAGAGUUAAAAAUAUUUUUUUUCUUUAACAAAAUAUAAUUAAAAAGAAAAUAAAUUAAAUGCUGAAAGUUAAACAUUGAUUAUGAAACAUUAAAUUUUAAUAAUAACUGAAAAACAUUAAUUAUAUAUUGAUUUUUUAAAAACCGGGUUUUGAAGUUAAUUUGGGUCAUCAUUUUUACCGCUUUUUAGCCAGCUUCACUAGGUUUUCUCAAAUUCGGGUUUUAAACCAAAUAAGAUUCGGUUUCUUCAACGAGCUAUGGUUUUGACCGGUUUGAUCGACCGGUCUGGUUUUCAAAACGCUGAUCUUAUCCCACACCAACUGUGAUGGGUUUAACUAUUUAAAAAUAUUGGGCUUUCUGAUUAAAUCUUUCUUAUUUUGGGGUCCAUAACAUUAAUGGGCUUUAAGAAUAAUAUGGAAUGUCGACGAGAAUGGAAAACUAUUUCCAUUGUUGUCUGUCACAGCAAUGAAAAAAAGAAGAGAAAAGGGUCAAAAAGCAAUGAUCUCAAGAAUGUUUCUUUCCUUGGUUAAUAUUUGACAUCCAUCCUCCUCUCUCCCAAUCCCCUCAAUCUCUAAGCUGCUUCUCCAUUCUCCAGGUAUGAUAAAAUUCCAUUGUUUAAUCUAUAUUACCUUCAUCACAUAUGUUCCGUUUACCAUGUUUCAUGCCCUCUAGCUUUAGAUUUCCGGACUUCAAUUUCGUGUCCACUUGUUAUUAUUGUCAAGUAUUCCGGAACCUGGAUUACCUUCAAAUCUCCGACAGCAAACUGGUCAUAUUCCCAAGUUUUUAGAUGAUUUCCAUUCAGUAAGCACCAUGGAGGGAAUCAACAACACCGAUCGUUAUCACCAUUCCAGAUCGAAGUUGAAUGCAAAAAACAUAUGAGGUGCUAAACAUUGAAGAAUGUUGCUUUGAUUUGAUUUUGUUACUUGUGCAUGUUUGAUCCAAGGUUUGCUUUUUAGAACACAAAAAGCUCUGUGCAUUUUUUAUGGCAUGUCUACAGGGAAAUUUACAUGGGUCAAUAGUAGUCUCACAGGUUACAUUUUUUCCUUCAGACAAAUCAUGUGCAUACACCAGCCUCAAUCCUACUUAAUCCCCCAUUCCUAACAAUUCUUUCUUACAUUUUGCUCAUCACACUUUGAAACAACACUUGACUAAUCUCCCAUCUUCUUUGUCAGGUUACCAACAUUGUUUAUUUCUAAAUCCAGAGAUGACAACCAAACACCAUUAAUAUUACAGACAGCUUUUCCAUCAUCCCUGUGCCAUUGGAUGGUCAUGCGAAUCUGGUGGAUCUCCAUCUGUUAACCAGAAAAAACACUCAAUUCAUAGUUGCAAUAAAGAAGCACACAAUCCAAAAGUUCAAGAUAGAAGACCAUUGUUCAUGAUUUUACAAGUUAAGAGACUAGCUACACUCUGAGCAAAGUGUUUGUCAACAUUUUUUCCUGAUAUUGUAGGUUUAUGUUUGUAAUGGCCUUCCAUAUUAUCAUCAGAGCACAGAAUUGAACGGUAAAUAAAAGAUUAUUCUGAGAUUGCAAACAAAACGAAGUAUAGUUUUCUU